rnacentral:RNase_P_RNA from 1 species
UGUUCUAUCGCUUCGCGUAACGCGGGGAGGAAAGUCGGGACAACACAGAGCGCCAUACUUCCUAACGGGAAGGUUUCUCGUUAAAAACGAGGAAACAGCGAGUGCCACAGAAAAUAACUUCCUAUGCCGGGGCAGAGGCAAGCCAGCCUUCGCUGAAGCUUCGGCAGGUAAAGGUGAAAACGUGGGGUAAGAGCCCACGCAGUGUUGUGGCGACACAGCACCGGGGUAAACCUUAUGGGUUGAAAGUCCAAAUAAGCCGGCACUCCCGCGUAAAGCGGGAUAAGGGUUGCUCGUCCGAUGCCGGCGGGUAGGACGCUAGAGCCAAGCAGUGAUGUUUGGCCCAGAUAAAUGAUAGAAUCCUGCCCCGAUAGCUAUCGGGGCAGGGGACAGAAUCCCGCUUACAGGCCUGCCCG